rnacentral:lncRNA from 1 species
AAAGAAAGAACAUUAUGCCUUUUGAGUUGGGCAUGGAGAUUUGGCCAGGAGCCACGCAGCAAACUCGAGGCAACUUCAGAGAAACGGUGGGAAUGCUCAGAGCACCAGAGGGAAAGUCUGUUUUCCUGAGUGAAGACGAUGGACUUCAGAACCAGAAGCACGAAAGCAGGGAUCCGGGGAAGGGGCGUAUGCUGUCUCAUUCAGGAGACUGGUCCACAAGGUCAGUUUUAUGGUUCCUACAAAUGAAUGAACGAGGGCAUGCGGCAUCGUUGACUCUGAAUUCCUCCAGCUUCGUGAGUGCGGUUGCGAAAGAGGGUGCAUUAAUCAUGCAAAAAGGACCGCAGUCAUUUGCUGUGUUCUCUGAAGAACGGACGAAGAGGACGGUGCUCUCUGGAUUCCACGUCUAAGAAAAGAAAGAAUGCCGGCUGGUGGGUACACAUGCCUUUUUGAGACAAACCUCAAACAGCUUGCCUACUCACUCUCAACUUAUCAACUACCUCUGGAUUGCUGUGGAAGAAAUAAACUCGCACCUUAUAUAAAUUGCCCUAUCUCGGGGUUUGUGUUACAGCAGUUUGGUCCUGUUUCUGACUUAGGGAGAGGGGAGGAAGAAAGAGGGAGAGGGAGAGAGGGAGAGAGGGAGAGGGAGAGAGGGAGAGGGAGAAAGGGAGAGGGAAAGAGAGGGAGAGAGAGAGAGAGAGGGGGAGGGGGGAGAGGGAGGGAGAGAGAGGGAGAGAGAGGGAGAGGGGGAGAGAGGGAGAGAAGGAAAGGAGGAGAGAGGGAAAGGGAGAGAGAGGGAAAGGGAGAGGGAGGGGGAGAAAGGGAGAGGGAGGGGGAGAGGGAGGGGGAGAGGGAGGGGGAGAGGGAGAGGGAGAAAGGGAGAGGGAGAAAGGGAGAGGGAGAAAGGGAGAGGGAGAAAGGGAGAGGGAGAAAGGGAGAGGGAGGGAGAGGUAGAGAGAGGGAGAGGGGGAGAGAGUGAGAGAGAGGGAGAGGGGGAGAGAGUGAGAGAGAGGGAGAGGGGGAGAAAGAGAGGGAGAGGGAGAAAGGGAGAGGGAGAGAGAGGGAGAGGGGGAGAGAGGGAGAGAGGGAGAAAGAGAGGGAGAGGGAGAAAGGGAGAGGGAGGGGAGAGGGAGAGGGAGAGAGAACAUUAAGAAGUCAAGCUUAUCUUCAAUGAUCUUAGUAUAAAUAAGGAGCCUCAGAUUGAACUGUUUGGAAACAAGACAUGAAAACUACAUGUGACUUCAUGGAUUCCGUGUGUUUAUCCUGUUCCCCAAAUCACCCUGUAUCAUACAACUGCAUGCAUGUUCUUUGGGCUUAAAUGAAUGCAUGUACUUAAUAUAAAUCACGAGUAUCAAAUUGACAAAUGAAAACUUGGGUUGACUACAGUGUCCACCUCCUUUUAUUCCAGCACAGACAUAUGCGCUCAUGAGCUCUUAGGGUUUAUGUAUUCUUUAUCAUCAGUUAAUCAGAGAUAAUUGGAUGAGCAUAAGAACAGACUUCAUCGUCCUCUGUGUGAUGCCAACACGACGAUUUUUUCUCUCAUUCCUGGUUUCAUGGUACCCGGCACUUCAGAAUAGUUUCUGUGUUGCUAAGACAACAAGGAUACUGCAAAAGAAAAUGGGAACUGAAGUCAAGGCCCUGCAACAGCAGCCUCAAAGGAUGUCAUAAAUAGUGUGUGCCAGGCUCUAUUCACAGUGAAGCCUGCAACCUCUGAAUUAAGAGAGAGAAGAAGAAAAGACUUGUGUUCUUCAGUGUUUAUUCAGGGGACAAGGGUGCUCUUGACAGCUUCCACUCUGAAGCUGAGAGAACAGUGAUGUGUGGAUAUGAGAGAGGCAGUCAUCCCUCCACUUUCUUUUCAAAACCCCGUGGAAACACCCGAGGGGAGCCUGUCCUUAAAUCCCAACUUCAUGCUAAGGGUAGCACGUCUGCCUGUGGGGUUAGAAGAAAGCUGAGGCCAUUGCUAAGUUGUCCCCUCCACUGAAAAUAUGCAUCUCAUCUGAACGAGGCUUGGUUCUGGGUGGUAAAUAGGGGCCGGGGGAGGGGAUCGAAUAUCUGCUGAGACUCAUGGUUGGUAUUUGAAACUCAGUCUAUGAACAGAUGCAAAGAUGAUGGAUGGCUUGGAUGCACUUGGAGUGUCACCACAGAGCUCUGGCUGUCCUGGAACUCCCUGUGUAGACCAGGCUGGCCUUGAACACAGAGAGACCCCGGUGUGCUACCACGCCCAGCUUUGUCACACUUUUGAAGGCACAGAAAGCCCAGCAGCAGUGGAGUGAGCCAAGCUGCAUCCUAGCUCUGUCUGAGCAAACUGAACUGCAAUAGUCAUCCUACUGUGACACCCAGAACUUGGGGGCAAGGACAAAGGCAAGGGAAAUCAACCGCCUGGGCUGACUUUGUUAAAGGAAAACAACAUUUAACCAUGAACUGAAGAGUGUCCUUCAGGUCGUGUAUGUUCUACUGCACAGAGAUAAGGAUAUGCCAAAGAGGAGGAGGAGGGGAAGGAGGAGGGGGAGGAGGGGGAGGAGGACGAGGACCAGGAGGAUGAGGACCAGGAGGACAAGGAGGAGCAGCAGGAGGAGGAAGAGGAGGAGCAGCAGGAGGAAGGAGGAGGAGGAAGAAGAGAAGGAGGGGAGGAGGAGGAAAGGGAGGAGAGGGAGGAGAAGAAGAAGAGGAAGAGAAGGAUGAGGAGGAGAGAGAGGAGAGGAAGAGGAGGAGGAAGAAGAAGAGGAGGAGGGGAUGGGGAGAAGUGAGGCUGGGAAUGUGGCUCAGUGGCUCAGUGCCCUUGUUUAAGUUCCUAGAACUUCAAAUGAAUGAAUAAACAGCAUAAACAGAUACGUAAGAACUCCGGG